rnacentral:rRNA from 1 species
ACAGCAGCCGCCGCGGUAAUACGAAGGGUGCAAGCGUUAAUCGGAAUUACUGGGCGUAAAGCGUGCGUAGGCGGUGAGUUAAGUCUGCUGUGAAAUCCCCGGGCUCAACCCGGGAAUGGCAGUGGAUACUGGCUCGCUAGAGUGUGUCAGAGGAUGGUGGAAUUCCCGGUGUAGCGGUGAAAUGCGUAGAGAUCGGGAGGGACAUCAGUGGCGAAGGCGGCCACCUGGGACAACACUGACGCUGAGGCACGAAAGCGUGGGGAGCAAACAGGAUUAGAUACCCGCGUAGUCCCUGUCUCUUAUAC